rnacentral:rRNA from 1 species
GACAGAGGGUGCAAACGUUGCUCGGAAUCACUGGGCGUAAAGGGCGUGUAGGCGGGAAGGAAAGUCGGGCGUGAAAUCCCUGGGCUCAACCCAGGAACUGCACUCGAAACUUCUUUUCUUGAGUGCCGGAGAGGAAAGCGGAAUUCCUGGUGUAGAGGUGAAAUUCGUAGAUAUCAGGAGGAACACCAGUGGCGAAGGCGGCUCACUGGCCCGGAACUGACGCUGAGACGCGAAAGCGUGGGGAGCAAACAGG